CCUACGGGAGGCUGCAGUCGAGGAUCUUCGGCAAUGGGCGCAAGCCUGACCGAGCGACGCCGCGUGCGCGAUGAAGGCCUUCGGGUUGUAAAGCGCUGUCGAGGGGGAGAAAGGCCGCAAGGCUUGAUCGACCCCUGGAGGAAGCACGGGCUAAGUUCGUGCCAGCAGCCGCGGUAAGACGAACCGUGCGAACGUUGUUCGGAUUCAUUGGGCUUAAAGGGCGCGUAGGCGGAUGCCCCAGUCGGGGGUGAAAUCCCACCGCUCAACGGUGGAAGUGCCCCCGAUACUGGGCGUCUGGAGGGAGGUAGGGGUGUGUGGAACUUCCGGUGGAGCGGUGAAAUGCGUAGAUAUCGGAAGGAACGCCGGUGGCGAAAGCGACGCACUGGACCUCUUCUGACGCUGAGGCGCGAAAGCCAGGGGAGCAAACGGGAUUAGAUACC
rnacentral:rRNA from 1 species